rnacentral:rRNA from 1 species
UAGGGAAUCUUCCACAAUGGACGCAAGUCUGAUGGAGCAACGCCGCGUGAGUGAAGAAGGUUUUCGGACCGUAAAGCUCUGUUGUUGGUGAAGAAGGAUAGAGGUAGUAACUGGCCUUUAUUUGACGGUAAUCAACCAGAAAGUCACGGCUAACUACGUGCCAGCAGCCGCGGUAAUACGUAGGUGGCAAGCGUUGUCCGGAUUUAUUGGGCAUAAAGCGAGCGCAGGCGGAAGAAUAAGUCUGAUGUGAAAGCCCUCGGCUUAACCGAGGAAUUGCAUCGGAAACUGUUUUCUUGAGUGCAGAAGAGGAGAGUAGAACUCCAUGUGUAGCGGUGGAAUGCGUAGAUAUAUGGAAGAAUACCAGUGGCGAAGGCGGCUCUCUGGUCUGCAACUGACGCUGAGGCUCGAAAGCAUGGGUAGCGAACAGGAUUAGAUACCCUGGUAGUCCAUGCCGUAAACGAUGAGUGCUAAGUGUUGGGAGGCUUCCGCCUCUCAGUGCUGCAGCUAACGCAUUAAGCACUCCGCCUGGGGGAGUACGACCGCAAGGUUGAAAC